CAAACUUUAAAAAUGUAUGUUUUAAAAUCAUGUACAUGGUAUACAUGUAGGUUUUGUACACGUAUGAGAGUGUAGAUACCUGCAAAGUCCAGAAGAGGGUGUUGGAUCCCCAGGAGCUACAGUUAAAAGUAAGGUGAGCUGCCUGACCUGGGUGCUGGGAAUCAAACUCUGAUUCAUUGCAAGAACACUAGGUGCUCUGAACUACUAAACCAUCUCUUCAUCCCCUGCAAGCAAAGUUCAUGUAGCGAAGGAUAACCUUGGACUUUUUUUUUUCUUCUUGGUUCUUUUUUUCGGAGCUGGGGACCGAACCCAGGGCCUUGCGCUUCCUAGGCAAGCGCUCUACCACUGAGCUAAAUCCCCAACCCCAACCUUGGACUUCUGAUAUUCCUCCCUCUACUUUCCAAAUGCUAACAUUUCAGGCCACCACAACUGCUUUAUUAAUGCUAAAAUUUUUAAAUUAUUCCCCUUAAAGAUCAUAAACAAAUGAUGUAUUUAUCCUACUACUGCCCAUUAUCAUGGUGUUUUGCUUUCUAGGAGAUUGAAACAUUCCAUCUUGCUGGAUCCUUAAGCAGGAAGGUAAAUAACUCAAAAUAGCUUCAGGAGGGGUUGGGGAUUUGGCUCAGUGGUAGAACACUUGCCUAGCAAGUGCAAGGCCCUGGGUUCGGUCCCCAGCUCCGAAAAAAAGAAAAAAAAAUAGCUUCAGGAAGUCCCUGAAACUGACCAGAUUGACUAGGCCCCUCCCUGUGAGAAUAAGCAAUACAAUCCGAGAGUCCACCUCUGAUGCUGAACUGCACUGAAGACAGAGGUAGCUGACCAGCUAGGACUCAAGCAAGCUAAGCUUAAAAGAAAACUCUCAGAGGAGAAAACCCACAAAGACAGCUCAGACCAGAUCAGCUACCUGGAAGAAGUUUAGACCAACCAAAGCACCUGGAAGGACAUUCUCCAACCUGUUGAGCUGCCUGAAGGUUGUGCAACAUGCUUCAGAUUUCCCACUGUGAGCUGCCACCCAUGGUGGCAUAGGGUUUGGUGAUAUUGCUGUCUUUGAGUUAUUUCUGUUCUUGUAACUAACCCCUCACCCAUACUUUGGUAAGUAACUCAGAUAAACUCAAUGGUUCACCAAGUUGGACUUUGCAGGGAUCUGUACUUUGGAUUGUUGGGGGGUUUUCUAUCUAGGGUGAGUAUACAUAUGUGUUACACGCCCCCCCCCAAUUUUGUUAAACAACACAUGGUUGUAGAGGUGUUGCACAAUGAAAUAGACAAAUCCAAAGAACAUAGGAUUAGAAAAGAAAAACAAGGCUGUAGGCUGAAAGGAAAAGUAUCAUUCUGGACCCAUAAAAGGAACAGAAGUCAGGGAAUAAAAGACAAAGACAGGAGAUGGGGGGCAGGGGGAAGGAAGGGAUCAGGAGUAUUUGUCCCAGGGGAUAAAGGAUAGAGAGGAAACAAAAGUGGCUCAUAGACAAAUGACAGUUUAUAAAGGUACCAGGGGACCCCCCCCUCCGUGUUAGGAUGAGGUGUUUAAUUGUAUUGGGUCGCGUUAAUAGGGCAGCCAAGGGGGGCUUCUGAAUGCUGGACUUCAAUACUCUGAUAGCUUGACUUUGACAGUCAGCCUCCUCCUGCAGGAAGUGGCCAAAUAAGGAACUAAGCCUUGGUGGCCAGCUCUAGGAAUGCAAUCUAAGGGGUUUUAGCAAAGCAGAGGGAAUUGGGGAGAAGGGCAAGGCCUGCCAGAGCUAUGCUCACAGCCACGCUUGAGCUGACCAGAGGCCCUUCACCUAGAAUGCACAAAGCCACAGACUCCUGAUCCUCAGCCUUGCCUUUAUGAGGUGCAGGGACACAGGCUUGUAGCUCCAGCACUUUGUCAGAAAGAAAGAGAUAAGAGAGAGAGAGAGAGAGAGAGAGAGAGAGAGAGAGAAGAAAGAAAAGUCUAAAGCCAAGGAAGAUACCCUCAGAGAUAAGUAUGUAUCAAACCUUGCUUCAUUACAGGAUUCUGUAGACUUCUAAGAUCUGGAGUGGAGCCAUCUGAAAGAAGUGGGAGUGCUGGGAUCCAGCCAGUGAUGGAGAGCCCUCACCUAGCACCAUGGGGUUCCAGAGUGGGGGCUGGGAGUAGAUGACUCGGCAGUUAAGAACUCCAGCUGCUGCUCUCCCAGAGGACAGAGAAGCCAGAUUUGGUUCCCAGCACCUGCACGGAAGUCCACAACUGUCUGUAACUCCAGUUCCAGGGGAUCUGACACUAUCAUCUGACCUCCGAAGCCACCGGGCACCCACGUGGUACAACAGACCUACAUGUGGACAAGACAUUCAUACACAUAAAAUAAACAAAUGAAGAAAACUUAAAAAUAAACAGAAUAAAGCAAGAGCUGGCAAGA